GGUCAGGACGAACGCUGGCGGCGUGCCUAAUACAUGCAAGUCAACGGUCUUUCUAUGGAAGCUUGCUUCCACUGAGAAGAUAGUGGCGAACGGGUGAGUAACACGUGGGUAACCUGCCCAUAAGAGGGGGGAUAACAUCCGGAAACGGGUGCUAAUACCGCAUAGUUUCUUGAUCGCAUGAUUGAGAAAGGAAAGACGGCCUUUGUGCUGUCGCUUAUGGAUGGACCCGCGGCGUAUUAGUUAGUUGGUGAGGUAACGGCUCACCAAGACGAUGAUACGUAGCCGACCUGAGAGGGUGAUCGGCCACAUUGGGACUGAGACACGGCCCAAACUCCUACGGGAGGCAGCAGUAGGGAAUCUUCCGCAAUGGACGAAAGUCUGACGGAGCAACGCCGCGUGAGUGAAAGAAGGUUUUCGGAUCGUAAAACUCUGUUGUCAGAGAAGAACAAGUUGGAGAGUAACUGCUCCAGCCUUGACGGUAUCUGACCAGAAAGCCACGGCUAACUACGUGCCAGCCGCGGC
rnacentral:rRNA from 1 species